rfam:Felis catus isolate Cinnamon breed Abyssinian chromosome A3, whole genome shotgun sequence.
CUAUUUCUUGCUCCAACACUGUUUGGAUGGAACAG